UCGAGGUUGAGCCGUUGAGGAGCGUCUUCGUGAGGUUGAGAAGAAAAGGGUCUCUGCUGGUGGAAUGGCUGACGGUACGCAGAUAAAUUUAUUGAUUUUUUAAUUUAAAAAUAAAAAAAAACUUACCAUUGUGAAGAGGUGUUGCUCUCGCCUCUCCAGCCUGAGGCGUGGCCUCCCCAAAGUCUAGCCAGGUGUUCCAGUCGAGGCGACAGAGGGUCGCCUCGCUCACCUUGGAUGACACUGAUGCUUAUUUGGAGGUAAAGGAAUAAAACAAUUAAGGGUUAACACUUACCUCCUUUACACCUGUUUGUAUAACUUUUUUAAAGGGUGAUAAUUGUUAAGCCCCAUUUGGUGUAAUUUUGUUAGCCCCCAUUCCCUUAAGUUAAAAGGUUGCUCCCAUAAUAUAUUGUCCUCUCUUUUACCACUAUCACACCUUUCAACACCCCUCCCCCCUCUUCCCACCUGAAAGUUCUUGAACCUCCAAACACACCCACCCUUAGGAUAAAGGACAGGUUUUACGCUAUGUUUGUAUUAUUUCCAUUUUGUUGCCAAAAUGAAGACAAAUUUAGCAAACAUGUUGGUGGCAAGCUCUAAUUCCUGGUUUUAGGCCAAAAGCAUUGUGGGUCUAGUUGCAAGUUAGGGUGUGGAAGCGAAUUGUGACAUAAUACGUGACUUUAUGAAAUUUGGCAGUAAUUGCAUAUAUGAAUAGUGUUUAGUGUUAAUUUGGGUUUGACGGGGAUGAGUUCCCAUGUAAAUUUUAACAGGUAAAUGUGUUUGCCACCCUAGUUUUGAAGUUAAGAAGCAAAGGGGCUGUCGGUCAUUCUAUAUAUAUAUAUAUGUGUGUGUG
rnacentral:misc_RNA from 1 species